GCUAAACGCGAAGAACCUUACCAACCCUUGACAUGUGUAUCGCGGUUCCAGAGAUGGUUCCUUCAGUUCGGCUGGAUACAACACAGGUGCUGCAUGGCUGUCGUCAGCUCGUGUCGUGAGAUGUUCGGUUAAGUCCGGCAACGAGCGCAACCCACACUUUCAGUUGCCAUCAUUCAGUUGGGCACUCUGGAAGAACUGCCGGUGAUAAGCCGGAGGAAGGUGUGGAUGACGUCAAGUCCUCAUGGCCCUUACGGGUUGGGCUACACACGCGCUACAAUGGUGGUGACAAUGGGUUAAUCCCCAAAAGCCAUCUCAGUUCGGAUUGGGGUCUGCAACUCGACCCCAUGAAGUCGGAAUCGCUAGUAAUCGCGUAACAGCAUGACGCGGUGAAUACGUUCCCGGGUCUUGUACGCACCG
rnacentral:rRNA from 1 species